rnacentral:rRNA from 1 species
UACGGAAGGUCCGGGCGUUAUCCGGAUUUAUUGGGUUUAAAGGGAGCGCAGGCGGAGGCUUAAGCGUGACGUGAAAUGUAGCCGCUCAACGGCUGAGUUGCGUCGCGAACUGGGUUUCUUGAGUGAGUGCGACGUCAGCGGAAUUCGUGGUGUAGCGGUGAAAUGCUUAGAUAUCACGAAGAACCCCGAUUGCGAAGGCAGCUGACGAGCCCUUUACUGACGCUAAAGCUCGAAGGUGCGGGUAU